UUCUGGUCAACAAGGUAGCAAUAGAGAUUGAUUUGACUACAAAUUAACAACAAGCUAGUCAGCCAGUCUGCUGUAAUUCGGAAGUAUAGGGAAAGUUAAGCGUCAAGUCUGUGCCACAAUCAUCUCAUGUCUUUGUGACACAGCAGAUCAGGGGUGGAGAAAUUUUUUAGUGCUGCGGGCAAAAAUUUCCAAAGAAAACGGUCCAUAGGCAAAUCACAGUAUGCAAAUUUAACCUGUAAUCAUAUUGCUCUUGUCGUUCAUGAACAACUGAAUGCUUGCUGCCCUGGGAGAUGGAUGGGUCGUCGUAGUCCGCAUGAGUGGCCAGCCAGGAGUCCCAACUUAAUACCCUGUGGCUUCUUUCUUUGGGGUUGGUUAAAGGAACAAGUUUAUAGUACCAAACCAAAGACAUUGGAAGAACUUAAAAGGGUGAGUAGCAGAAGUGAUUUAUACUGUCGUUAUGUGUGAGAUGUUUUUGUUGAGAGUCGUUUAGGCUUAAAUACCAGGAUACCAGCUCCACAGGCCUUUUUGUUCCAGUAGGUCACAUGACCUUGUGAUAGGCCAAACUUGUUCGUAUGGAUCGGUUUCCAACUGUCCAAUCACGUUGGCGCAACAGUUCAUCUUUCCUUAUGCGGGAAAUUAAUCACCAGCCCUGGGAGUCUCCUGAUCUUUAUAAGAACAGCAGUUCCUGGUGGUACUAUGUCUUUGGCACAUGCCACUGAUCACACGCAACUCAUCUCUGGCAAUGAUGUAUCUGACACCAGCUUUCAUCUCCACCAGAUACCUGCCUACAUCGUUGCUGUAUGAACAUCACACAACCAACAGACCAAUGGCUGCCUCUACACACCACCAAUCAGUACAUCAACUUUGUCUACAAGAUCACAAAGUCUUUCACAUAUCCUUGUUGCAACCUGUUAUAUUAAUUCAUUUCAUGGAUGUCAAUCAUAUUUUAUAAUGGAGAAUAAAUCAUUGCUUACCAAUUCAUUUUUAUCUCACGUCGUAUAUCAUUUUCACAUUUUCCUUAUUUCCCAUCUUUGUUAUAGGGGAAUACGAGAAGUUACAUGUCUUCCGUCCCAUCAGAGUUCCUGGUGAAAUCAGUUGACACAAUUUUUGCCACAUUAUCAUGGCAUCUUUUAUAUUUGCUUUGUGCCAAUUUUGGGCAUUUGCUAAUGAUGUGCCGUUUCACCCCUCUCACCGC